UUGACAGUGACAUUUGAACGACGAAAAAGGCAACAUAGAUUGUUUUUAUCCUAAGCAAUGAUGACUGAUAAAUAAUCCUAAUAUUGUUUCUAUGUGUUUAAAAUGUUAAACUUAAAUGGAAUGAUCUAUAUCCUUUUAUAUUUUUCACCCACUACAAAUUACUACAAGCGGAUAACACAGAUGCAGCAUAUAAAUUGGAACGUUUGAGUACUGUUGUAAAUAAUGAUGAGACACCAAAGCCUGCAGAUUGUAUGCCGCUCCUAAACAAGUUUGCAGAUGCAUCAGCAAAUUUUACAAAAUGUAGUAUAAAACAUGCGCGGCCAGUACGACUUUGCGAGAAGUGUAUUGACCACUAUGUGUCAUUCCGAGAUAAAUACCAGGCUUUACUGAAAAAAGAUGAUAAUGGAACAUCAUGUAAGGAGAUAUUUAUUUCACAUGACACACUCGAUGUUGUUUUAGGAUAUUACAACAACAUUAUGUCUGUGUGGAAUAAAGGAAACUGUAAUGGAUGUUACAAUUGGACAAAUGGAGCACCAGAAUUAUCAAA